UCCGUUGGUGAACCAGCGGAGGGAUCAUUACCGAGUUUACAACUCCCAAACCCAAUGUGAACGUUACCAAACUGUUGCCUCGGCGGGAUCUCUGCCCCGGGUGCGUCGCAGCCCCGGACCAAGGCGCCCGCCGGAGGACCAACCAAAACUCUUAUUGUAUACCCCCUCGCGGGUUUUUUACUAUCUGAGCCAUCUCGGCGCCCCUCGUGGGCGUUUCGAAAAUGAAUCAAAACUUUCAACAACGGAUCUCUUGGUUCUGGCAUCGAUGAAGAACGCAGCGAAAUGCGAUAAGUAAUGUGAAUUGCAGAAUUCAGUGAAUCAUCGAAUCUUUGAACGCACAUUGCGCCCGCCAGUAUUCUGGCGGGCAUGCCUGUCCGAGCGUCAUUUCAACCCUCGAACCCCUCCGGGGGGUCGGCGUUGGGGAUCGGCCCUUUACGGGGCCGGCCCCGAAAUACAGUGGCGGUCUCGCCGCAGCCUCUCCUGCGCAGUAGUUUGCACACUCGCAUCGGGAGCGCGGCGCGUCCACAGCCGUUAAACACCCCAAACUUCUGAAAUGUGACCUCGGAUCAGGUAGGA
rnacentral:rRNA from 1 species